rnacentral:rRNA from 1 species
AUUGAACGCUGGCGGCAUGCUUUACACAUGCAAGUCGAACGGUAACAGGUUAAGCUGACGAGUGGCGAACGGGUGAGUAAUGCAUCGGAACGUGCCCGAUCGUGGGGGAUAACGCAGCGAAAGCUGCGCUAAUACCGCAUACGAUCUGAGGAUGAAAGCGGGGGACCGUAAGGCCUCGCGCGAUCGGAGCGGCCGAUGUCAGAUUAGGUAGUUGGUGGGGUAAAGGCUCACCAAGCCAACGAUCUGUAGCUGGGCUGAGAGGACGACCAGCCCCACUGGGACGGAGACACGGCCCAGACUCCUACGGGAGGCAGCAGUGGGGAAUUUUGGACAAUGGGCGAAAGCCUGAUCCAGCAAUGCCGCGUGCAGGAAGAAGGCCUUCGGGUUGUAAACUGCUUUUGUACGGAGCGAAAAGGUCUCCUCUAAUACAGGGGGCUCAUGACGGUACCGUAAGAAUAAGCACCGGCUAACUACGUGCCAGCAGCCGCGGUAA